ACGAACCGUCCAAACGUUAUUCGGAAUCACUGGGCUUACAGAGUUCGUAGGCGGUCCCAAAAGUUAGGUGUGAAAUCCCUCGGCUCAACCGAGGAACUGCGCUUAAAACUGUGGGACUCGAGGGAGAUAGAGGAAAGCGGAACUGAUGGUGGAGCGGUGAAAUGCGUUGAUAUCAUCAGGAACACCGGUGGUGAAGGCGGCUUUCUGGGUCUUACCUGACGCUGAGGAACGAAAGCUAGGGGAGCGAACGGGA
rnacentral:rRNA from 1 species